rnacentral:rRNA from 1 species
UACGUAGGGGGCUAGCGUUGUCCGGAUUUAUUGGGCGUAAAGAGCGUGUAGGCGGCUAGGUAGGUCCGUUGUGAAAACUCGAGGCUCAACCUCGAGACGUCGAUGGAAACCAUCUAGCUAGAGUCCGGAAGAGGAGAGUGGAAUUCCUGGUGUAGCGGUGAAAUGCGCAGAUAUCAGGAAGAACACCGGUGGCGAACGCGGGUCUCUAGUACGGUACUGACGCUGAGACGCGAAAGCGUGGGGAGCAAACAGG